rnacentral:rRNA from 1 species
UACGUAGGCAGCAAGCGUUGUUCGGAUUUACUGGGCGUAAAGGGUGUGUAGGCGGUUCUUUAAGUUUGGCGUGAAAUCUCCCGGCUUAACCGGGAGGGUGCGCCGAAUACUGAGGGACUCGAGUGCGGGAGAGGAAAGUGGAAUUCCUGGUGUAGCGGUGAAAUGCGUAGAUAUCAGGAGGAACACCGGUGGUGUAGACGGCUUUCUGGACCGUAACUGACGCUGAGACACGAAAGCGUGGGUAGCAAACAGG